AUUGAACGCUGGCGGCAUGCCUUACACAUGCAAGUCGAACGGUAACAGGUCUUCGGAUGCUGACGAGUGGCGAACGGGUGAGUAAUACAUCGGAACGUGCCUAGUAGUGGGGGAUAACUACGCGAAAGAGUGGCUAAUACCGCAUGAGAUCUACGGAUGAAAGCAGGGGAUCGCAAGGCCUUGUGCUACUAGAGCGGCCGAUGGGAGAUUAGGUAGGUGGUGGGAUAAAAGCUUACCAAACCGACGAUCUGUAGCUGGUCUGAGAGGACGAUCAGCCACACUGGGACUGAGACACGGCCCAGACUCCUACGGGAGGCAGCAGUGGGGAAUUUUGGACAAUGGGCGCAAGCCUGAUCCAGCAAUGCCGCGUGCAGGAUGAAGGCCUUCGGGUUGUAAACUGCUUUUGUACGGAACGAAAAGCCCUGGGUUAAUACCCUGGGGUCAUGACGGUACCGUGGGAAUAAGCACCGGCUAACUACGUGCCAGCAGCCGCCGUAA
rnacentral:rRNA from 1 species